GAUGAACGCUGGCGGCGUGCCUAAUACAUGCAAGUCGAGCGAACAGACCAGGAGCUUGCUCGUCGGUCGUUAGCGGCGGACGGGUGUGUAACAUGUGGAUAACCUCCCUAUAAGACUGGGAUAACCUCGGGAAACCGGCGCUAAUACCGGAUAAUCUAUUGAACCGCAGUGUUCAAUAGUGAAUGACGGCUUUUCUGUCACUUAUAGCUGCUUCCGCGCCGUAUUAGCUAGUUGGUAAGGUAACGGCUUACCAAGGCGACGAUGCGUAGCCGAACUGAGAGGGUGAUAGGCCACACUGGAAGUGAGACGGGGACCAGACGCCUGAGGGAGGCAGCAGAAGGGAAUGUGCCGCAGUGGGCGAAAGCAUGGCGGAACAACGGGGCGUGUGUUAUGGAGGUGUUGGGUUCGUAAAACUCUGUUAUUAGGUAAGAACAGAUGUGUACGGAGACAAGGACUUAGUGACGGUACCUAGUCAAAAAGCCCCGGCUAACUACGUG
rnacentral:rRNA from 1 species